GAAGGGACCUAGCGUAGUUCGGAAUUACUGGGCUUAAAGAGUUCGUAGGUGGUUAAAAAAGUUGGUGGUGAAAUCCCAGAGCUUAACUCUGGAACUGCCAUCAAAACUUUUUAGCUAGAGUAUGAUAGAGGAAAGCAGAAUUUCUAGUGUAGAGGUGAAAUUCGUAGAUAUUAGAAAGAAUACCAAUUGCGAAGGCAGCUUUCUGGAUCAUUACUGACACUGAGGAACGAAAGCAUGGGUAGCGAAGAGGAUUAGAUACCCUCGUAGUCCAUGCCGUAAACGAUGUGUGUUAGAUGUUGGAAAUUUAUUUUCAGUAUCGCAGCGAAAGCAAUAAACACACCGCCUGGGGAGUACGACCGCAAGGUUAAAACUCAAAUGAAUUGACGGGGACCCGCACAAGUAGUGGAGCAUGUGGUUUAAUUCGAAGAUACGCGCAGAACCUUACCAACACUUGACAUGUUCGUUUCGACUCUAAGAGAUUAGAGUUUUCGGUUCGGCCGGACGAAACACAGGUGCUGCAUGGCUGUCGUCAGCUCGUGUCGUGAGAUGUUGGGUUAAGUCCCGCAACGAGCGCAACCCUUACUUUUAGUUGCCAUCAUUUAGUUGGGCACUCUGAAAGAACUGCCAGUGAUAAGCUGGAGGAAGGUGGGGAUGACGUCAAGUCCUCAUGGCCCUUAUGUGUUGGGCUACACACGUGCUACAAUGGCAUUUACAAUGGGAAGCAAGAUGGCGACGUCAAGCAAAUCCUAAAAAAAUGCCUCAGUUCGGAUUGUACUCUGCAACUCGAGUACAUGAAGCUGGAAUUACUAGUAAUCGUGGAUCAGCGUGCCACGGGUGAAUACGUUCCCGGGUCUU
rnacentral:rRNA from 1 species